GAUGAACGCUGGCGGCGUGCUUAACACAUGCAAGUCGAACGGAAAGGCCCAAGCUUGCUUGGGUACUCGAGUGGCGAACGGGUGAGUAACACGUGGGUGAUCUGCCCUGCACUUCGGGAUAAGCCUGGGAAACUGGGUCUAAUACCGGAUAGGACGAUGGUUUGGAUGCCAUUGUGGAAAGUUUUUUCGGUGUGGGAUGAGCUCGCGGCCUAUCAGCUUGUUGGUGGGGUAAUGGCCUACCAAGGCGUCGACGGGUAGCCGGCCUGAGAGGGUGUACGGCCACAUUGGGACUGAGAUACGGCCCAGACGCCUACGGGAGGCAGCAGUGGGGAAUAUUGCACAAUGGGCGCAAGCCUGAUGCAGCGACGCCGCGUGGGGGAUGACGGCCUUCGGGUUGUAAACUCCUUUCGCUAGGGACGAAGCGUUUUGUGACGGUACCUGGAGAAGAAGCACCGGCUAACUACGUG
rnacentral:rRNA from 1 species